rnacentral:rRNA from 1 species
CGCAGUCUUACUGACGUUCAUGCUCGAAGGUGCGGGUAUCGAACAGGAUUAGAUACCCUGGUAGUCCGCACGGUAAACGAUGGAUGCCCGCUGUUGGCGACACACUGUCAGCGGCCAAGCGAAAGCAUUAAGCAUCCCACCUGGGGAGUACGCCGGCAACGGUGAAACUCAAAGGAAUUGACGGGGGCCCGCACAAGCGGAGGAACAUGUGGUUUAAUUCGAUGAUACGCGAGGAACCUUACCCGGGCUUGAACUGCAGGAGAACGAUUCAGAGAUGAUGAGGUCCUUCGGGACUCCUGUGGAGGUGCUGCAUGGUUGUCGUCAGCUCGUGCCGUGAGGUGUCGGCUUAAGUGCCAUAACGAGCGCAACCCCUCUCUUCAGUUGCCAUCAGGUUUUGCUGGGCACUCUGGAGACACUGCCACCGCAAGGUGUGAGGAAGGUGGGGACGACGUCAAAUCAGCACGGCCCUUACGUCCGGGGCUACACACGUGUUACAAUGGGUGGUACAGAGAGUAAGUCCCCAGCAAUGUGGAUUCAAUCAUGAAAGCCAUCCUCAGUUCGGAUUGGGGUCUGCAACCCGACCCCAUGAAGCUGGAUUCGC